GGCAGAGGGAGUCCGGCCACCGUGCCCCGGACCGCAACCGCGCAAGGGGCAUGAGGAAAGUCCCCCCACCGUCCGGGCAGGUGACCGGGCGCAAGCCCGGAGCGGGAGACCGCUGGCUCUGGAACAGAAACGACACCACUCCGCGCGAGCGAUGAGGCGUGCGAACCCCGACCGUAAGAGAGGGGGAGUUGACCCGCCGAGCGUUGGGAGGUCUUCGACCUCCUGAAAGGCGAACGGCGCAGCCGUGAGCCAGACGGCGAGCGGGCCUCGCCCGCUCGCUCGUUCGUGGCGACUUCGUCGCCACCGGACCGCGGAGAACGGAUGGAACGGCGAACCCUCUCCGGUGCAAGCCCGCGUCGUCAGGUAGCCCGGACACCGCCGGAUUCGGCGACCUGGCGCGGGCGCGUAGCCGAAUGCCGGAUCGAACAGAAGGGGGCUUACUCCCCUCAGCC
rnacentral:RNase_P_RNA from 1 species